CACGUAGGGGGGCAAGCGUUGUCCGGAUUUAUUGGGCGUAAAGAGCUCGUAGGCGGCUCAGUAAGUCAGGUGUGAAAACCUCCAGGCUCAACCUGGAGACGCCACCUGAUACUGCUGUGGCUAGAGUCCGGUAGGGGGAGCGUGGAAUUCCUGGUGUAGCGGUGAAAUGCGCAGAUAUCAGGAGGAACACCAGCGGCGAAGGCGGCGCUCUGGG
rnacentral:rRNA from 1 species